rnacentral:ncRNA from 1 species
UCGAGUAGAGGCGCAUUCAUCAACAGUAUAUUUCAGGAACUUGAAGGAAGUUAUGACUGGAGUAAAAAGGGAUGAGUGCCGAAACCGACAAUUGCCUUCCAAUUGUCGGUUGGGUCCCAGCUUAAGAGGCUGGGGACUGUCGCGGGAAUCCGCGGAGAGCUAUCA